rnacentral:rRNA from 1 species
UUAUUAUAGCAAAGAGGAUACACCUGUUCCCAUACCGAACACAGAAGUUAAGCUCUUUAGCGGCGAUGGUACUUGGUGGGCAACUGCCUGGGAGAGUAG